rnacentral:rRNA from 1 species
CACAUGCAAGUCGAGGGGCAGCAUGAACUUAGCUUGCUAAGUUUGAUGGCGACCGGCGCACGGGUGAGUAACACGUAUCCAACCUGCCGAUGACUCGGGGAUAGCCUUUCGAAAGAAAGAUUAAUACCCGAUGGCAUAGUUCUUCCGCAUGGUAGAACUAUUAAAGGAUUUCGGUCAUCGAUGGGGAUGCGUUCCAUUAGGUUGUUGGCGGGGUAACGGCCCACCAAGCCUUCGAUGGAUAGGGGUUCUGAGAGGAAGGUCCCCCACAUUGGGACUGAGACACGGCCCAAACUCCUACGGGAGGCAGCAG